rnacentral:rRNA from 1 species
UACCCCGAGGAAAAGAAAUCAACCGAGAUUCCCCCAGUAGCGGCGAGCGAACGGGGAGCAGCCCAGAGCCUGAAUCAGUGUGUGUGUUAGUGGAAGCGUCUGGAAAGGCGCGCGAUACAGGGUGACAGCCCCGUACACAAAAAUGCACAUACUGUGAGCUCGAUGAGUAGGGCGGGACACGUGGUAUCCUGUCUGAAUAUGGGGGGACCAUCCUCCAAGGCUAAAUACUCCUGACUGACCGAUAGUGAACCAGUACCGUGAGGGAAAGGCGAAAAGAACCCCGGCGAGGGGAGUGAAAAAGAACCUGAAACCGUGUACGUACAAGCAGUGGGAGCACGCUUCGGCGUGUGACUGCGUACCUUUUGUAUAAUGGGUCAGCGACUUAUAUUCUGUAGCAAGGUUAACCGAAUAGGGGAGCCGAAGGGAAACCGAGUCUUAACUGGGCGUUAAGUUGCAGGGUAUAGACCCGAAACCCGGUGAUCUAGCCAUGGGCAGGUUGAAGGUUGGGUAACACUAACUGGAGGACCGAACCGACUAAUGUUGAAAAAUUAGCGGAUGACUUGUGGCUGGGGGUGAAAGGCCAAUCAAACCGGGAGAUAGCUGGUUCUCCCCGAAAGCU